rnacentral:siRNA from 1 species
CCAACUUCUUAUGUGGCCAUUUA